rnacentral:lncRNA from 1 species
AAAAUUCAGUUCCUUUCUUGCACUGGCUAUAUUUCAAAUGCUCAGUAACACAUACAGCUAGUGGUUCCUGCCUCGGACUGCACACAUAUAGACCAUAUCCAAUACCACAAAAAACUACAUAGGGGAAGUUCCUGUCGUGACUCAGCAGUUGCAAACCCAACUAGUAUCCACGAGGACAUAGGUUCAGCCCCUGGCCUUGCUCACUGGGUUAAGGAUCUGGCAUUGUAGUGUAGUUUGCAGAGACGGCUUGGAUCCUAUGUUGCUGUGGCUGUGGUAUAAGCUGGCAGCUGUAGCUCGGAUUCCACCCCUAGCCUGGGAAUUUCCAUACCCUGAGGAUGUGGCCCUAAAAAGACUAUCUAUAUCUAUAUCUAUGGCAGCGCUCUUCAGAGGCUAGUAAUAUGCCUGGAAGUACAUUUUCUGCUUUUGUCUGAGGUGGUCAUGAGGGGCUAGAAGGGCAGACUCUGGUCAGCUGAGUCUGGGAGUGGUGUAUUCUUUCUCUCUGCAAGGCAACUGGAGUCUGGGCACAAGCAGGCUGGCUAUUCUGGAGUCAUCAGUGUAACAGUCAAGGUCCAGAGGGGUGACCUAGGUGGGAAGAGGGGUUUCUGUACAUGCCCCACUUCCUCUCAAGUGGGGAUUCUCUCCUUCUAGAACCUAACAUAUCCAGCUGAUGCUCUUCCUUCAUGAUGCAAGUUCCAGCUCCAUGCAGCUGAUGACAAACAUGUCAGACUCCAGUUUACUGUCCUGUGAGGGGACCUGUCACCUUGGACAGAUACACAACUGUAAAAUGGGAGUUUUACCACCCACCUCAUGGGGGUAGAUGUGAGGGCUGAAUGAGACAAAGUACUUGCUUAGGUCUGUGUCUGGCUCUCAAAAACCAUCCUAACACCUAUUGUGUAGUGGCCUGGUCGUAGAAAGUCAGGCCAGGAGGGCAGGACUUCAUCUUGUUUUCCCUGCAUCAUCUUAGGCUAGAAGAGUGAGGGAUACAUAAUAGAAUAAGUUUGUGGAGGAGUUCCUGUUGUGGCGCAGCAGGAAUGAAUCCGACUAGGAACCAUAACGUUGUGGGUUCGAUCCCUGGCCUUGCUCAGUGG